CGUGAAGCCCAAGACAUAAGGGGCAUGAUGAUUUGACGUCAUCCCCACCUUCCUCCGAGUUGACCCCGGCAGUAUCCCAUGAGUUCCCACCAUUACGUGCUGGCAACAUAGAACGAGGGUUGCGCUCGUUGCGGGACUUAACCCAACAUCUCACGACACGAGCUGACGACAACCAUGCACCACCUGUUUACGAGUGUCCAAAGAGUUGACCAUUUCUGGCCCGUUCUCGUAUAUGUCAAGCCUUGGUAAGGUUCUUCGCGUUGCAUCGAAUUAAUCCGCAUGCUCCGCCGCUUGUGCGGGUCCCCGUCAAUUCCUUUGAGUUUUAGCCUUGCGGCCGUACUCCCCAGGCGGGGAACUUAAUGCGUUAGCUGCGUCACGGAAUCCGUGGAAUGGACCCCACAACUAGUUCCCAACGUUUACGGGGUGGACUACCAGGGUAUCUAAGCCUGUUUGCUCCCCACCCUUUCGCUCCUCAGCGUCAGUUACGGCCCAGAGAUCUGCCUUCGCCAUCGGUGUUCCUCCUGAUAUCUGCGCAUUCCACCGCUACACCAGGAAUUCCAAUCUCCCCUACCGCACUCUAGUCUGCCCGUACCCACUGCAGGCCCGAGGUUGAGCCUCGGGAUUUCACAGCAGACGCGACAAACCGCCUACGAGCUCUUUACGCCCAAUA
rnacentral:rRNA from 1 species